rnacentral:rRNA from 1 species
UGCCAGCAGCCGCGGUAAUACGCAGGGUGCGAGCGUUAAUCGGAAUUACUGGGCGUAAAGGGUGCGCAGGCGGUCUUGCAAGUCAGAUGUGAAAGCCCCGGGCUUAACCUGGGAAUUGCGUUUGAAACUACAAGACUAGAGUGCAGCAGAGGGGAGUGGAAUUCCAUGUGUAGCAGUGAAAUGCGUAGAGAUGUGGAAGAACACCGAUGGCGAAGGCAGCUCCCUGGGUUGACACUGACGCUCAUGCACGAAAGCGUGGGGAGCAAACAGGAUUAGAUACCCUGGUAGUCCACGCCCUAAACGAUGUCAACUAGUUGUCGGAUCUAAUUAAGGAUUUGGUAACGUAGCUAACGCGUGAAGUUGACCGCCUGGGGAGUACGGUCGCAAGAUUAAAACUCAAAGGAAUUGA